GGGGGGGGGGGGGGGGGGGGGGGGGGGGGGGGGGGGGGGGGGGGGGGGGGGGGGGGGGGGGGCGGGGGGGGGGCGGGGGGCGGACGGGUGAGGAAUGCAGGGGAAGCGGCUGUGUCGUGGGGGGUAGCGUGGGGGAAGUGCCGCUCAUGCCGCAUACGUGCGACGGGUGAAGGCAGGGGCUCUUCGGACAUUGCGCGAGGCAUUGAGCCGAUGGCGGAUUAGCUAGUUGGCGGGGUAAAGUCCCACCAAGGCGACGAGCCGUAGCUGGUCGGAGAGGAUGAUCAGCCACACUGGAACUGAGACACGGUCCAGACUCCUACGGGAGGCAGCAGUGGGGAAUAUUGGACAAUGGGCGCAAGCCUGAUCCAGCAAUACCGCGUGGGUGAAGAAGGCCUUCGGGUUGUAAAGCCCUUUUGUUGGAAAAGAAAAGCAGCAGGUUAAUACCCCGCUGUUCUGACGGUACCCAAAGAAUAAGCACCGGCUAACUUCGUG
rnacentral:rRNA from 1 species